CCUACGGGAGGCAGCAGUGAGGAAUAUUGGUCAAUGGGCGCAAGCCUGACCCAGCAACGCCGCGUGCAGGAAGACGGCUUUCGGGUUGUAAACUUCUUUUGACAGGGGAGAGUAGAAGACUGUACCUAUCGCAUAAGCCACGGCUAACUAAGUGCCAGCAGCCGUGGUAAUACGUAGGUGGCGAGCGUUGUCCGGAUUUACUGGGUGUAAAGGGCGUGUAGCCGGGUUGACAAGUCAGCUGUGAAAUCCGGCGGCUUAACCGCAGAACUGCAUUUGAAACUGGCGAUCUUGAGUACGGGGGAGGCAGACGGAAUUCGUAGGGUAGCGGUGAAAUGCGUAGAUAUGAGGAGGAACCCCAGUGGCGAAGGCGGUUUGCUGCACAGCAACUGACGGUGAGGCGCGAAAGCGUGGGGAGCAAACAGGAUUAGAUACCCGAGUAGUC
rnacentral:rRNA from 1 species